CGGAAUCUCCGACCGCUGAGCAAAUUCCAGUUGCAAGCGCUGCCUAUUUGUAGCUUCUCCUCAAUGACUGCCUUUCAUUCUCACACGUCCCAUCUCUAAGGCAGCAGGCAUAGCACGUUAACACCUAAAUUACGGGAGGCGGCAGCGAGGAAAAGGAACUACGGGGAACCUGGGACUUAUUUUCAUCCGCACGCAGCAAAGGAGCCGUUUUGUUUGUGAGUGUUGAUAAGAGCAAAGCCAGAGGAGAGAAGACAGACAAUGUGCUGGCUACAGCAGAAAGGAGGCUGCUGCUCUGUUGUCAUGCAGUAGAUGGAGCAGAUAGCAACUUCAUUUGCAGCCUGCGUCAGUAUAUGCAAAUGAUUCCAUUAAUGAACAUUGGACCCAAAGCCAAACUUUAUAAAGCCACUGUGGAUGAUGACGUAAAGAUGAUGGCAAUGGGAACAUUCAUUGAAAUUUACUUAUAACAUGGGAAAAAAACCAAGGACGAGAGUAACGUGGACAAACAUCAACCAGGGAGCAUCGGCAACGAUGACACAACGGAAAAGCAAGAUAUUCCUCACCCAAUGUCCUUAUUUAAGAGAAUUGUUUGAUGUUGGCUUCAACAGUGAUUCAUGGUGAAUAUGUUUUUUUGUUUUGUCAUCUUAAAAAUUCAAUAAUAAUGAGUGUAUUCUGAAAAAAUGCAAAGUAUAUAUUUUCUCAGUUGUGAUCAUUACCUAUUAUAUAUUGUAUACAGCGUUUAUCAUCUUUUUGGGGGGCGGGACCUCUUUCUCCUAUAUCUUCAAGUAUCUGUUCUUGUAUUUGGAUGUUUAUGCACACAUGUCCAU